UCUGAGAGCAAAAUUAAGUGACUAGAUCAAUGAAGAAAUUAGUUUUCUUGUAAACAAUUUGUGCUCUAAUAGUAAUUUAUUUAUUGGUGAUGGUAGGGCACAUUUGUCGCAUACACAAGAUAUAGUAGGCUAAAAGAUAGUUCAUAAUUGGUCAAACGUGUACAGUAUACAAUUAAAACCAUAAAACCAUUAAAAAUAUGUAGCAAAAGAGGUUACCUUUGUUGAAUUAAUUUAUUAGUGGGAGCCUGUAUCUAUACAUCUGUAUUUGUUAAACAAUCCAGAAUGCACUAAACACAUUACUUCAUUGUAGAGAAAAAAAACAAAUUAAUAAAAUCAUAUAAUCAUUAGCUGACCAAUAAAUAAAUAAGUAAACUAGGUGAGUAGCCUAUAUAAUUCAGGAGCAAAAAGUAUUCUAGCCUAAUUCUUGGAAAAAACAACUUUGCACAGUAAUUUUAUAAAUCCAAAUGAUAAUAAAAAGUUUAAAAUUACUAUUUGUAUUCUUAUGAAAUGAAGAAAAAAAAAAACUAUUUAUAUUAGAUUUAUGUAAAUAAUUAUAUGUAUUUAUAUUAAUGUAAGAUUAAAAGACGCUUAUUUUAAAUGUAUUGUGCAGCUUUUUAAUGGGGCAACAAGAUAUGAUAGAUACGACAGAAUCUAUUUGCUCUGACAGAAAUAAUCUUUCAGUGUGCAAAACCAUUAUAAUAUAAAACGCUUCAAAUCAGCAGCAAAAAACCGCUAAUGCGCAUCCCGGGUGCAGAAUGAUGUGCUUGAAGCAAUAUGGAGUCGGAGCGUGCAGUUGCGCUGCGCAUUGAAAAGUUCACGGUACAAAGAAUCCCUGUGUAUAUCUGCAUCUAACAGUUUAUUAAACAUAUGUUUCUUUUCACUUUUAAAUUCCAGUUAUUGUGCGUGUGACGCAAAUUCAUAGCCCUUGUGUUGUGCGAUCUAACAGACAUCCUGUAGCCAGUAUGAUGACAUCGUUAAGAAACAGCAAUAAACUCCAACAAGAUAAAAACACGACGCGCUGCUUGAGUGCUGAACAGAGAAUGAUUGACAGCUGUGGCAGAGGGAAGACGAGUUUCUGACCGUGAAUUUAACGAUGUUCUCCCUCACAUGAAGCUAUGGAAUGGCUUCAGAUUAAUUUGAAUAUAGUGCACGAAAAUUUAAUUGGUGCUAGUCUACUUAUUUUGCUCUAUGACUCCCACUUUUGCCAUAAAAAGUGCAAUUAUCAGACGGUUAUUUAAAUAUCGCUUCAAACCUAAUUUCCAUUUCAUUUUGAGACUGUGGCGGGACAAAUUAGAAUGUGGCGGGCCGCCACAGUCUAGUCAAUGUAUGGGAAACACUGAUAUAUGUAUGAAGAGUUUCGUUAU